rnacentral:rRNA from 1 species
GCGAGUCUGAAUAGGGCGAAUGAGUAUUUGGUCGUAGACCCGAAACCAGGUGAUCUACCCUUGGUCAGGUUGAAGUUCAGGUAACACUGAAUGGAGGACCGAACCGACUUACGUUGAAAAGUGAGCGGAUGAACUGAGGGUAGCGGAGAAAUUCCAAUCGAACUUGGAGAUAGCUGGUUCUCUCCGAAAUAGCUUUAGGGCUAGCCUCAAGUGAUGAUUAUUGGAGGUAGAGCACUGUUUGGACGAGGGGCCCCUCUCGGGUUACCGAAUUCAGACAAACUCCGAAUGCCAAAUAAUUUAACUUGGGAGUCAGAAUGUGGGUGAUAAGGUCCAUAUUCGAAAGGGAAACAGCCCAGACCACCAGCUAAGGUCCCAAAAUAUAUGUUAAGUGGAAAAGGAUGUGGCGUUGCCCAGACAACUAGGAUGUUGGCUUAGAAGCAGCCAUCAUUUAAAGAGUGCGUAAUAGCUCACUAGUCGAGUGACACUGCGCCGAAAAUGUACCGGGGCUAAACAUAUUACCGAAGCUGUGGAUUGUCCUUUGGACAAUGGUAGGAGAGCGUUCUAAGGGCGUUGAAGCAUGAUCGCAAGGACAUGUGGAGCGCUUAGAAGUGAGAAUGCCGGUGUGAGUAGCGAAAGACGGGUGAGAAUCCCGUCCACCGAUUGACUAAGGUUUCCAGAGGAAGGCUCGUCCGCUCUGGGUUAGUCGGGUCCUAAGCUGAGGCCGACAGGCGUAGGCGAUGGAUAACAGGUUGAUAUUCCUGUACCACCAUUAUUCGUUUUAAGCGAUGGGGGGACGCAGUAGGAUAGGCGAAGCGUGCUGUUGGAGUGCACGUCCAAGCAGUGAGAUUGAGUGUUAGGCAAAUCCGGCACUCUUAAGAUUGAGCUGUGAUGGGGAGAGGAACUUGUUCCUCGAGUCGUUGAUUUCACACUGCCGAGAAAAGCCUCUAGCUAGAAUAACGGUGCCCGUACCGCAAACCGACACAGGUAGUCAAGAUGAGAAUUCUAAGGUGAGCGAGCGAACUCUCGUUAAGGAACUCGGCAAAAUGACCCCGUAACUUCGGGAGAAGGGGUGCUCUUUGAGGUUCACGCUUCGAAGAGCCGCAGUGAAUAGGCCCAAGCGACUGUUUAUCAAAAACACAGGUCUCUGCUAAACCGUAAGGUGACGUAUAGGGGCUGACGCCUGCCCGGUGCUGGAAGGUUAAGAGGAGUGGUUAGCGCAAGCGAAGCUACGAAUCGAAGCCCCAGUAAACGGCGGCCGUAACUAUAACGGUCCUAAGGUAGCGAAAUUCCUUGUCGGGUAAGUUCCGACCCGCACGAAAGGCGUAACGAUUUGGGCACUGUCUCAACGAGAGACUCGGUGAAAUCAUAGUACCGGUGAAGAUGCCGGUUACCCGCGACAGGACGGAAAGACCCCGUGGAGCUUUACUGUAGCCUGAUAUUGAAAUUCGGUACAGUUUGUACAGGAUAGGUAGGAGCCUUAGAAGCGUGAGCGCUAGCUUACGUGGAGGCAUUGGUGGGAUACUACCCUAAUUGUAUUGGAUUUCUAACCCGCAGCACUUAUCGUGCUGGGAGACAGUGUCAGGCGGGCAGUUUGACUGGGGCGGUCGCCUCCUAAAGAGUAACGGAGGCGCUCAAAGGUUCCCUCAGAAUGGUUGGAAAUCAUUCAUAGAGUGUAAAGGCAUAAGGGAGCUUGACUGCGAGACCUACAAGUCGAGCAGGGUCGAAAGACGGACUUAGUGAUCCGGUGGUUCCGCAUGGAAGGGCCAUCGCUCAACGGAUAAAAGCUACCCCGGGGAUAACAGGCUUAUCUCCCCCAAGAGUUCACAUCGACGGGGAGGUUUGGCACCUCGAUGUCGGCUCAUCGCAUCCUGGGGCUGUAGUCGGUCCCAAGGGUUGGGCUGUUCGCCCAUUAAAGCGGUACGCGAGCUGGGUUCAGAACGUCGUGAGACAGUUCGGUCCCUAUCCGUCGUGGGCGUAGGAAAUUUGAGAGGAGCUGUCCUUAGUACGAGAGGACCGGGAUGGACAUACCUCUGGUGUACCAGUUGUCGUGCCAACGGCAUAGCUGGGUAGCUAUGUAUGGACGGGAUAAGUGCUGAAAGCAUCUAAGCAUGAAGCCCCCCUCGAGAUGAGAUUUCCCAACUUCGGUUAUAAGAUCCCUCAAAGAUGAUGAGGUGAAUAGGUUCGAGGUGGAAGCGUAGCGAUACGUGGAGCUGACGAAUACUA